CGUAAACGAUGAGCACUAGGCGGUUGUCUUGUUAGGGAUGGCCGUUGGAGAGAAAUUGUUAAGUGCUCCGCCUGGGGAGUAUGUUCGCAAGGCUGAAACUCAAAGGGAUUGACGGGGGCUCACACAAGCGGUGGAGGAUGUGGUUUAAUUCGAAGCAACGCGAAGAACCUUACCAGGUCUUGACAUGCUGGGAUCAACCGUGUGAAAGCACGGGGCUUGCCCAUACGGGUGUAACCAGCACAGGUGCUGCAUGGCUGUCGUCAGCUCGUGCCGUGAGGUGUUAGGUUAAGUCCUUUAACGAGCGAAACCCCUAUGAUUUGUUGCCAGCGGUUCGGCCGGGCGACUCAAAUCAGACUGCCGGGUGUAACUAGGACCCAGCUGGCACGACGUCAAGUAUCAUGGCCCUUAUGACCUGGGUACACACGUCCUACAAUGGUCGGUACAGAGGCUUGCCAAGCCGCGAGGCGGAGCCAAUCCCUUAAAGCCGGCCACAGUUCGGAUUGCAGGCUGCAAUUCGCAUGCAUGAAGUCGGAAUCGCUAGUAAUCGCGGGUCAGCUACACCCCGGUGNAUUCUUCCUGAGCAUGUACACACCGCCCGUCAAGCCACCCGAAUUGUUCGCACCCGAAGUCGU
rnacentral:rRNA from 1 species